rnacentral:lncRNA from 1 species
GUUUUUGCUUUUAUCAAUCUCUCUCUGUUAAACUUAUCAAACUUAUGUUCCACUUGUUCAUCAACAAGUAAAAUAAGUUUCUUAUGUUCUUCACUCUCUGGAAACUAACAAUUGGUAUCAAAACCCUUAUUUCUUGAGGGAUCUGUGGGUGUUUCAUACAAGUAAUAACUGAAACAAGACAAAUUUCUGAAGCAUGGAAGCAGAAUCAAGUUUUUCAACUAUGGCACCACCUGUUUUU